rnacentral:tRNA from 1 species
GCUGAGAUGGCUUAGUGGUCAAGAGCACUGACUGCUCUUCCAGAGGUCCUGAGUUCAAUUCUCAGAAACCACA